GUUCUUUUUACGGACUGACUCUUAAGUUUCAUUUUAAUUUUCAGUGAUGAUCCCGCUCAAACUAAGAUUAAAAGGGGAGGAGGAGACACGUCUGUGUGGGAGAAUAACCUGCAGCAGAGAUGUGCUGUCAGGGGAGGCUCGUCAUCAUCAAAAGUAAAAAACAAAUAAUCAUUAAAUCAAAUAAAUAUUAAUAUUGUUCUACUGGUCUGUGUUAUAAAUGUUAUUUCUGUACGAUUCCAAAAAUGUUCAAUAAUUUUCAUGAUCAAAAUCGCUGAAUUCGCAUAUUUCCGGCCGGCUCCGAUGCGAGCUGAGGCAGCGACGAGUUGUGCCUCAUCCCAGAUUGCGCAAUCCCUCACAAACUGGGUCGAGCGUAUGCCUUUUGCUUUCUUACUGUUUGAGGAGAGCUAGCUUAUGUCUCUAAAGAUAUUCUGUUACUAUUUCAUCACUGAAUUCACGUCUGGAUGUUUUUGAGGAGAGAACUUGAUGUUGGAGACUGCAUAUUUACAUGUUUAUGAAAAUGAACGUCAAAUCAAAAAUCAUUUCUGCUGUUUUUAAAGUUGAUGAGCUCCACGAGCUCGACUACGAGCAGCCGGCCAGCAGCCAACAUCAAAAUGUGAAAUGUCACAAAAACUGCAUGUUGUAAAAUAUACAUUUCUGUUGGAUGUGAUGAAUGGUGAUUUUCUAUUCACUGGAUUAUCACUUUUAUUUCAGUUUACAUUUUUGAUUUAAUAUUUAAACUCUCAUGAGUUUCCAUCACCCUCACUUUUAUCAUCACUUUGUGUUACUUCCAUCCUGUUGUAGUUUGAAAGGUUUAAUCAUAACAGAAACACAAUCUGGACAGCAGCAGGCACAAACCAAUAGUUAUCUAAUCUCUGAAUUUAGCCAAGUCAUAAGAUCAUGUUCUGAUACACAAGACACACACACACACACACACACACACACACACACACACACACACACACACACUUUGUAAAGCAUCCUUGGGUUUCAUGAAAGACGCUGUAUAAAUCUAAGUUAUUGUUAUUAACUUCUCCGAGAGAAAUAAACAGAUCCUUGAUUCACAAGCCAUAGUCUCUGUCUGAUUGUUCAAGAGCAUUUACUCUUCUACACUCCAACAUGUGCUGCUGUGUUCUGAUGAAGAGAAAUGAAA